rnacentral:rRNA from 1 species
AUUCCAGCUCCAAUAGCGUAUACUAAAGUUGUUGCAGUUAAAAAGCUCGUAGUUGAAUUUCUGGAUGUGAAAGGUGGUCGGCACCUCACGGUGUCUGUACUUAUCAUUCGCGUCCAUCCUCGGGAGGAACAUGUGGACACUUAAGUGGGUCUGCUUGGGAAUCUCGUCAUUUACUGUGAGCAAAAUAGAGUGUUCAAAGCAGGCUUAUGCCGUUGAAUAUAUUAGCAUGGAAUAAUAAGAUACGACUUUGGUCUAUUUUGUUGGUUUACAUUCCAAAGUAAUGAUUAAUAGGGAUAGUUGGGGGUAUUCGUAUUCAAUUGUCAGAGGUGAAAUUCUUGGAUUUAUGGAAGACGAACUACUGCGAAAGCAUUUACCAGGGAUGUUUUCAUUA